AGCGAACGUUUGCGGCGGGCCUAACACAUGCAAGUCGAACGCACUAGCAAUAGUGAGUGGCGCACGGGUGCGUAACACGUGGGUAAUCAACCCUUCAGCCUGGGAUAACGACUCGAAAGGGUCGCUAAUACCGGAUACGGCGCGAGAGGCUUCGGCUUCUCACGAGAAAGCCACGCAAGGGGCACUGAAGGACGAGCCUGCGGCCCAUCAGCUAGUUGGUGAGGUAAGAGCUCACCAAGGCUAAGACGGGUAGCUGGUCUGAGAGGAUGAUCAGCCACACUGGAACUGAGACACGGUCCAGACUCCUACGGGAGGCAGCAGUGGGGAAUAUUGCGCAAUGGGCGAAAGCCUGACGCAGCCACGCCGCGUGAGCGAUGAAGGCCUUGGUCGUAAGACGUCUGUGGGAGGAGACGAAGAAAGACCUGUGAAGAGCAGGCCGUUGACGGUAGUCUCCUUACGCAAGACACCGGC
rnacentral:rRNA from 1 species